CCAAGUGCUCGUGACAGUUUAUGUUGCGUCGUGUACCUGUAAACCGGGAAUUGCGGGAAAAUGUAAGCACGCGGCAGCAGUCUGCUGCUACCUGAACAAGGAAGAAGACGCCACAUGUACGGGCAACAAGAAAAGAGAGGCAAGCCAAGCUCAAAGCCGCAGGCGUGACAUGACAAAGGGUAUCGCCGACUUAUUUCCGAAGCUGAUGAGGCUACAGUCAUCUCUGCUGCAUCGUUGAUCAUUUGCCAAUGAUCUUUCUCUACUGAAUGCUGCUGCUGUACCCUGCUGCAUCGUUGAUCGUUGGCUAUUCUGUUAUUCUUCAGCAUUUUAUAUGUUUCAUCAACCAGUAUUGUACCGUGUACCUAGUACGUUGCCUCAAAACAAUGCUUUAUUGCUCUUGGUAAUAAACAGCUUGCAUCUGA